GAUGAAGAACGUAGCGAAAUGCGAUAAGUAAUGUGAAUUGCAGACUUUAGUGAAUCAUCGAAUCUUUGAACGCACAUUGCGCCCCUUGGUAUUCCGGGGGGCAUGCCUGUUCGAGCGUCAUUUCAACCCUCAAGCUCUGCUUGGUCUUGGGCCUGGCCAUCGUGGCCGGCCUUAAAAUCAGUGGCGGUGCCUGCUGUAGGCUCCAAGCGUAGUACAUCUCUCGCUCUGGAAGCCCGGCGGUGCCUGCCAGACAACCCCUAAAUUGUCUCUUAUGGUUGACCUCGGAUCAGGUAGGGAUACCCGCUGAACUUAAGCAUAUCAAUAAGCGGAGGA
rnacentral:misc_RNA from 1 species